ACCCUUAGAUGUUCUGGGCUACACGCGCGCUACACUGAAGCGUUCAACGAGUAUUCACCUUGCCCGGGAGGGUUGGGUAAUCUUUUUAAAACGCUUCGUGAUGGGGAUAGAUUAUUGCAAUUAUUAAUCUUCAACGAGGAAUUCCUAGUAAGCGCGAGUCAUCAGCUCGUGCUGAUUACGUCCCUGCCCUUUGUACACACCGCCCGUCGCUACUACUGAUUGGGUGUUCAAGUGAGAUGCUUAGACCCUUGUUGCAUGGUUCAUUAUUGUGCUCCGAAAGGAAAAAGUUUCAAGCUUGAGUGUCUAGAGGAAGUAAAAGUCGUAACA
rnacentral:rRNA from 1 species